UGAAAUCUGGAGGGGAAAGAAGCAAUCUCGUACCAACGGCCCAUGUAUCUCUCCAGGUCCAGCCCUUUCACCACUUCCAUCUCUUUCUUCUCUGUCGUCGUCAUUUCUCUUUUCUAUUUUCUUUCUCUUCUUCUCUAAGAUUUCGAUAUUUUCGUUGAGGUAAAGGGAUAAGAAGAGAGAUUCGAUUCUUUUAUAGGAGGAAAUAAUAAUAUCAAGGAGAUUUCCAUGGGACGAGAGGAUGACACGUGGAAAGCGUGUAGGGCAAGGGUUCUAGUAGCGUCUAGCAGUUACAAAUGUGAAUAAAGUUGCAGGAGGAGGACACAAAUGUCUCUUUCCUUUUAUUUUUUGUUCUGUGGGGGGGAGGGACAAGGAUACAACAAUACAAUGGGGCCAUACUUUCACACUUUGAUUUGACUUCCUCUUUGCCGUUUCAUAUCGACAUCUAAAUAUCUAUUCUU
rnacentral:lncRNA from 1 species